GGCUUUUUCUUGAGGUACCGUCUAAGUGGUUACCCACUUUCUCUUUCCUCGCAAAAGGGGUUUACAAUCCGAAAACCUUCAUCCCCCACGCGGCGUCGCUGCGUCAGGCUUUCGCCCAUUGCGCAAUAUUCCU
rnacentral:rRNA from 1 species